rnacentral:rRNA from 1 species
GACGAACGCUGGCGGCGUGCUUAACACAUGCAAGUCGAACGGAAAGGCUCUGCUUUUGUGGGGUGCUCGAGUGGCGAACGGGUGAGUAACACGUGAGUAACCUGCCCUUGACUUUGGGAUAACUUCAGGAAACUGGGGCUAAUACCGGAUAGGAGCUCCUGCUGCAGUGUGGGGGGUGGAAAGUUUCGGCGGUUGGGGAUGGACUCGCGGCUGAUCAGCUUGUUGGUGGGGUAGUGGCUUACCAAGGCUGUGACGGGUAGCCGGCCUGAGAGGGUGACCGGCCACAUUGGGACUGAGAUACGGCCCAGAGUCCUACGGGAGGCAGCAGUGGGGAAUAUUGCACAAUGGGCGGAAGCCUGAUGCAGCAACGCCGCGUGCGGGAUGACGGCCUUCGGGUUGUAAACCGCUUUCGCCUGUGACGAAGCGUGAGUGACGGUAAUGGGUAAAGAAGCACCGGCUAACUACGUG